rnacentral:rRNA from 1 species
GUUAGUUUUAAAAUUUAUUUAAAAUAUUAAUAGUGUAUAAUAAAUAAUUAAAAAAUUUUAUUUUAUUAUUUUUAUAUUAAAAAAUUAAAUUAUUUAUAGUUUAAUAAGUAUUGAAAAAGAAAGUUGAAAUAUUUUGAAAAAAAAAAUAUUAUUUUAAAAAUAAAUUUUAUUUAUUGUAUUUUGUGUAUCAAAGAAUAUUAAUUUUUAUAUUUGUAUAAAAUUAAUUUCGAAAUUUAAAGAGAUAAUUAAUUAAUUUAAUUAAUAUAAAAUAAUUAUUAAUAAUAAUUAAUUAGAAAUAAAAUGUUAUUCGAUUUAAAUUAUAUCUAAUUUUUUUAGAAAUAAAUUUAAUUUAUUUAUUAAUUUUGAUUAAUUUAUUUUAUAAAGAAAAUUAAUUAAAUUAAUAGUAAUUUUUUUAGGGAUAAGCUUAAAAAAAUAAAUUUAUAUUUAUUUAAUUUUAUAAAAAUUAAAAAUUUAUAAAAAUAAUAUUUUUUAUUUAUUAUAUUUUAUUAUAAAAAAUUUUUAAUUUUGAAAAUUUAAUUUUAAAUUAAUUGAUUAUUAUAUAAAAAAAUAUUAAUUUUGAAUUAAGAAAUUAAGUAAUAAUGAUAUUAUUAGUAUUAUGAUUUUAUAUAUAAUUAUUAUAUAUGUAAAAUUUUAAGUAAAUUUAAUGAACUCGACAAAAAUAUAUUUGCCUGUUUAACAAAAACAUGUCUUUUUGAAUUAAUAAUUUAAAGUCUUAUCUGCCCACUGAAUUUAUUUAAAGGGCCGCAGUAUUUAAUUGUGCAAAGGUAGCAUAAUAAAUAGUCUUUUAAUUGAAGACUAGAAUGAAUGAUUUGACAAAAUAUAUAUUUUAUUAGAUUUAAUUUUAUAGAAUUUAUUUUUUUAAUAAAAAAAUUAAAGUGUUUUAAAAAGACGAGAAGACCCUAUAGAUCUUUAUAUAAAUAUUUUUAAUUUAUUAUUAAUAUAAUAUUUAUAUUUAAUUGGGGUGAUUUAAAAAUUUUUAAAACUUUUUAUUUUAUUUAACAUAAGUAAAUGAUUAAUAAUUAUAUUAUUAAAAAAUUGAUUAUCUAUAAUUUAUUAUAAAUUAAAAUUAAGAUACCUUAGGGAUAACAGCGUAAUUUUAAUUUUAAGUUCGUAUUGAAAUUAAAGAUUGCGACCUCGAUGUUGGAUUAAAAUUUAAAUUAAAUGUAUAAGUUUAAUUUUUAAGUCUGUUCGACUUUUAAAAUUUUACAUGAUCUGAGUUCAAACCGGUGUAAACCAGGUUGGUUUCUAUCUUUUAAUAAAUAUAAAAAUUAAUUUAGUACGAAAGGAAUAAUUAAUUAAAAUAAUAUUUUAUUGUUUAUUUGGUUAUUAUUAAUAAAAUUAUUA